UUCAAGUGGCUGUUGCGCUGCUGCUUUCCCUCAUCCCUUCAGUGCGACAGCCUCAGAGCUGGUGAAGAGAGAGAGAGAGCAUGAAGCUGGAUAAAUUCAUAGACAUGGAAUUCCUGGAUCAAAUGGUAUUUGGAGAGUUAAAGCUGUCUGGAUUCAGUUCCUGGAAUUUUCUAGAAUGAUGUGAGAACAAAAUAUACUAAGAGAUUUGCCUGGAUACCGUCUUAAAACUAGCAGAGUAUAGCUCGCUCUCUAAAUAUGCACAUUGGCCAAAUAAGAAACACACAUUGACUGCUGUAGCAAACAGACUCUUCCCUCUACACACAGACUUAGGCCACAGCACACAGACACAUCCCAAGGCACACUGACGAGCAGCACUACAACAAAAAGACUUGCCCACAGCACCCAGACAGACCUUAUAUCACUAGACUUUCCCAGAGUCACGGAGGUUCUCCCCAACACGAGACCCACCUAAGGGACACUGACAGGUCCCACAUGACAGAGACUCAUGCCACCAUAAAACUCUAUGUGUGAGACACAGAUGAUCCUGCAUCAUACAUUGACCCCACAUCACACUGAACCUUCCCAGGGUACACAGAGCAUCCAGAUUCACCUCACCUCACCACACACAGAUUCUCCCCACAGCACACAGACUUUCCUCACAAACCCAGAUACUCCCACCACACAUAGGUAUAGCACAGGUCCUCCCACAGCACACUGGUUUUCCUCUUGACACAUGACUUUCCUUAUGUUCCACUAGUGAAGCCCUAGCUGAGACUUUUGCCUGGGUGCACAGACUCUCCUCACAUCACAUUGACCCUUGUGAAAGCACCACAGCACAGACUUAGAGUCUGCCCACAGCACACAGACUUGUUCUACAGCACACAGUAUCUCCAUGGAAAGUAGACUUGCCUCUAGAACAUAAACUCAUGAAAGCUUUUAAAGACCCAUCUCAUCACACAAAGACUCCCUCACAACAGACAGGCUCACCCCAUGGCACACAGAUCAACAUGACAUGGACUCACUCCACAUUACACAGAUUUACAGACUCACCCAUGAGACACUCUCCCCGUGGCACUCAGUUAAGCCUGUCCCACAACUCAACUCAGAAUGCAGCAGUACAUUGUAUAGUACAUAUGCAAUACCCUGAUACAUAGAAUUGUGACAGAAUGCAAAAACUUGUCCUGCAAUGCACCCAUUCAUUUCCCAGCAAACACACUUCAUUUCCCAGCAAACAAGUACAAAUACUUGCCCCAUAGUGCACCCAUUUGUCCUACAACAUCUAGGUCUCAUCCUCAAACCACAGAGUAACCUCAUAAUGCAUACUGGGACCCUGUGUCAAUAAAAUAUACCUCCACUAAUCCUGAGACACAGCCUUCCACUUGGCCCUACACCACACUGAGUUGCUCUACAACAGAUGCACUAAGCAGCACCUAAGGUAUUCAGACUUGAUUCUUAGUGCACAGUCACACAUGUGUUUCACAAUAUCUUCUCUCAUUCCAAAACACAGAUGCAGCCUACAACAUACAAAUAGCUUCUGCACUACAAUAGUCCACCUCUACAAUGGUAAACAUUAUGUUACAGUGUAUACUUGUCAUACAUAUUAAUUUCACAAAACUCUCUUCUUACAGUGGCUACACAGUGGGAACAUGUUCCCCUAUACACAUUAAACCAUUUGCCAUAUGAGGUUCAUAUUCACCCCAAAGCAUGUAGACUAAGUCACUGUUCAUACUGCUUCCUAUAAAACAAGAUAUACCCAACUAUGCACAAAACUCUACCAAAAUGCACAGAUUCUCCCAUGCAUAUUACAUUUUUCUUCACACCUCACACAAACAUUGCUGAACACGGAAACUCACUCUAAAUGCAUAGACAAACCCUUCAGGACACAGACUUAACCUAUAUUCAGUACCUGUGACAUUUAGAUGCGCUACCAGUUCUCAGUCAUGCCUGUGAACACAUAGGUUACUUGUAUAAGGCACAGAAAUGCAUCAUAAAACAGUGCAGAACUACAAUACACAUAAACUAUAGUGCAGAAACCACAAUAUACAUAAAUAUUUCCCAGCGUGAAAACAUACAACACACAUAUUACCCCUGCAGUGAACACUUUUAUCAUAGAGAACAGACAUGCUUUACCAUACUAUUGAGCUACAACUCUGGCCUGCAAUGGACAAACAGCUUCUGUAAUGGUUUCAAGCAAGUCCUCUGGACCCAGACUUACCUGGGUUUGAAUCCAGGUCCCACCUCUUGCUAAUUGUAUCACCUUGGGUAAGUAUAUUUCCCUGUUCUUUAAUGUACUCAUCUGUAAAACAAAGAUAACAAUAAUACUUUGAAAGUCUCUUUGUAUAACAAAUGAAUUAAGAUAUGUUAAGUGCUUAGUACAGUGUCUAGUACAUAGGAUCUACUAGAAUUGUUAAGU